CGAUGUAAACAGAAAAACUCAAUGAGACACUUUUAAAAAUGUUGCGAUUCUUUUAGAAGUAAUGAAACAGUAUAACAGACAAGUACAAGUGCAAGAGUACUUUUCAAAAGCGAUUUCGAAGAAUGAAACUCAAGUGUUUAGAAUUGAAUGAGUAUUGAAUACUCAUAUCUUGUCUGAACGGAUAUCCGAGUACUGGAGUAUGGAUGCACAUAAAUUCAAACAAUAGCAAACUAUCGUAUUCCUUGUCAAAAAUAAUAUUUCGUGGAACGUCGCUGAAAACGACGAGUCAAGGACCGAAUAUCCGGGUCGAAGAAAUGCGUAGGGAGAGAUGCAGCGGAAGUUUCUAUCAGGAGUACUUCCUGAUUACGCCUGGCAUAAAACCGAGAGGCAGAUAAGAUUACACUUCAGGAUUUCUGUUAGCUUUUCUCAAGAGGAAAUAUGUAAUAGGGUUUCCUAAAUUUUUAUACAGAGAUACAUUGUUGAAUUUUUUGCUUGUAAUGCAUUAGUUUACAAGGCCCCACAUUUCUGAUAUUUCAAAAAUUCCAAAAUCGGCCCACGACCCAUCACAAUUUGCCUGGACCCAUACUUCUAGAGGAACACCACAAUCUGGCAAAAGAUUCCUUUCACUUUACUCUCGAAUUCGAUCGGAACGAGGAGAAGGUUCGACGGACGUAGAUGGAGUUUCUAUAGCUACUUUAUUUAGAAAUUUGAAGAUGACACGAUAGCGAAGACUAACCCAAACUCAUACUUGUGACGAAAUCGGGUCAAUGUCGGCUCAAGGCUAAUGACUUGUUCAUGUCCUAGAUAGGUAAUGUAUGUACACACAAAGGAUUUUAGGCGUAUAGUUGAGAAACAUUGACGAGAAUUGAAUGAACAUCACCUUUUAAACAUUGUUAAAUGAAGAAUAGAAUUUUAGCAAUUUAAUAGUUGAAUUCGUACAAGAGAUUCAUGCAGAAUACAUGCAUAAAAGUGUAAUUAAAAAAGUAGGGGUCGUAAAAUUUUUCGUUUCGCGUUAUUUACCUUACCUGUCCAUUUCAAUGCUGUA
rnacentral:lncRNA from 1 species